CUCUCCAGGAUACAAGAGACAUUUCAGGCAGUUCCUAAUGAUGAUGUCACUGAGAGAUGCCAUGGCCUACCUGCUAAACAGCUUUCCUUACAUUGAACAGAUUUGACCAUGCCUUUUCCAGACAUCAGUAAAGCAAAGGACCACAUGGAGUAUCGAAUUUGUUUCUCUUGACCUUUUUGAUAUCAGUACUACAGUAUCAACUGUGAGGAGCUGUCCGAGGAGCUGUCCUCACAGAUGUGAGGAGCUGUCCGAGGAGCUGUCCUCACAAACUCCAUUACAAGAUGGCACCGGCAUCCGGCAGAACGCACCUAGUAAAAAGGGCAAUAUGCAGGCGCCUGGUAACUUCCCUACUCAAAGGGACACGUACGUUUUGGUACGUCAUCUGGAAUAAUUGGCAGCGACCAGUCAGAGAGUGACACGUCCUAGGCGAGGAUAGUUUCCUAUAUAAGGGACGGUUAUUCCUCACUCUCCGUCUCCGCAUUGUAAGCUUAUGCUCUCCCUCUCAAGACGCAUUAAAGCUUUUAUGUAGUAGGA